rnacentral:ncRNA from 1 species
UUGAAGGCGGCGUCACGCAGCUUUCCGCCGAAAGGCGGAUUGAAAAACGGGGUGAAUUCGGGGAAACCCUUUGAUUAAAUUCAGGGCAAUCCCGAGCCAAGCCCGCCGAAGAGGCGGGACAGGUGUAGAGACUAUCUCGAAAGAGAGUACCCCGACGCAAGGUCGGGGGAAGCGCCUCGCUCCCUUCGGGGAGGUGAUAUAGUCCGUCCCUAGUGGAAACAUUAGG